AUGUUGUUGGCCGUUCCCUCCUCCCGCUCAGUAAACACUUUAUGUAAGGCAGGGAGAACUGGAGGCAUCCGUACGGGCAAAAACCUUCCACGCUCCCCCUCCUCCAAACUCAGGUUUUCCCUGGCAGCUGGAAAACUCCCAAGCCAACCUAGAAUUUGCUUUGCAGAUCAGCGAAGCACCCGAGGGGGGAUGAGUUCGAACGGCCCGGCGCCGACCCCAGCACUCGAGCCGGCGCUCGGCAUCUCAGCUGCCAAAACCUGCCCACCGCCCUCCUGGAUGCGCGUCCCUCCUUCCUCCGCCCGGCUCCUGCAGCUGCUUGUCCCAGGGCCGAGAGACGGGCCCGGAAGGUUUGGCUGUGGCACAGACCUGCCCGGCCAGCAGCACGCCGGGACCUGCCACCGCGUCCCACGCAGCCAAAAGCUCACCUGUCGGAGCUGGCCACGGGCUCGGAAGAUGCAGGGACACCCCUCGUGUGCCUGUCACCCCCAGCCACAACCUGCUGGGUGGGAAGGACACCCACCCCGCCAGGCACAGUUAAAACCAUGGCCUCAGCCCCUCUGUUACUUGGACACGGAGGAUCUCACCGGUGUCUGUGCCAAAACAGUGUGUAAAUUUACCUAAGAGCAACUUUUUGGGCCACAGAGCUGCUGGGGAAAAAAAACUCAUGAAGCCAAGGACUCCUCUAUAGCAGUAGCCCAUGGGGCAGGAAUUUGCUCCCCACCAUAAACGGGGCACAGUUUGCACUCGACGUGAGCCAGGGCACUCGCUGAGCCCCUCAGUACAUCUCCACCCUUCCUCCUCCUCCUCUUCCUCCUCCUUCUCCUUCUUCUCAGCCCCUCCCCCUGCAGCCUGCAAAAGCGCUGAGCUCAGCACAUCCCGGGCAGGGGCCCAGCCAAGGACCCUCCCCAGUGCCAGCCGCUCCCCCUCCCCGGCUCCUGCUUAACCCUUCGCAAAGCCGGGCUGGAAACCAGAAGGAUCGAGUCAAUCUCAUCACAGACGGGGACAGGCACAGCUGGCUGGGAACAGACUGUCCAGAAAGCCUCAAUCUCUGUCUGCUCUCCCAGAAAGGACAGCAGGUCAGGGGGAAAGACACACUGCUCAUCCACAGAAACCACGCUGGGUUUACUGCCAGCAGCAGGACCAGGGGUGGGGAAGUGCAGGGAUUACCAACACUGUAGCUAAAACUUUACUUUCCAGCCCAAAACCAUUCCUGGAGGCCCUGCUGCAGAGGAGUGGCCUGGAUCUCAGCUUCUUUUGGGAAGCAGAAAGAGCUGCCAGCCCCACAUUGCCUCCCCUCCCCUCCCAGCUGGAUUCUUUUAUUGUGUGGAUCAAAAACUGCAUUUCCCCACUAAAACUUGCCAUCACACCAGAGCUGCUUGCUCCGCUGCCUACUAGGAGAUGUUAUGGCAAAGAAAGAAAAAUAUUUAUGCUUGGCUCCAGAAUUCCAGCUUAUUUUUAGCAAGGCGCCCUCCCUGUGGUCCUUUACCUCUUUUUUGUUUAUUUGCUGCCUUCCCUCUGUUUUGACCCCCCCAAAAGCAGCAGAUUCUCAUCUAUUUUCAGCUUCACCCAGCCGACGCUCGUACCAAUGACUUGGUGGCUGCGGGGAGAAAUAACCCACCAG
rnacentral:lncRNA from 1 species